rnacentral:rRNA from 1 species
GGCUCCUCGCUCAUUUUAUAUGUGGAGUCGGACCUGCUCAGUGAGUAUAUUUCAACAGCCGCGGUACUCUGACCGUGCAAAGGUAGCAUAAUCAUUUGCCUUAUAAUUGAAGGCUAGUAUGAAUGGUUUGACGAGAAUUGAGCUGUCUCUUUUUGAUUAAAUAUAAUUUUAUUUAUAGGUGAAGAAGCCUAUUUCCUAUUGAAAGACAAGAAGACCCUAUCGAGCUUUAAAAAAUUUAGUAGACUUUAAACUUUAUUUAUAAAAAACAAAGCUAUUAAAAACUUUGGUUGGGGCGACUGAGGAACAAAAAAGCUUCCUUUAUUAAAUAAAUUACUAACAAGUAUUGAUCCAAUAUAUUUGAUUAAAGGAAUUAGUUACCGUAGGGAUAACAGCAUAAUCCUCUUUGAGAGUUCUUAUCGAAAAGGGGGUUUGUGACCUCGAUGUUGGACCAGAAUAUCCUGAAGAUGCAGCCGUCUUCAAUGGUUGGUCUGUUCGACCAUUAAAAUUCUACGUGAUCUGAGUUCAGACCGGCGUGAGCCAGGUCAGUUUCUAUCUUCAAUUUUUAAAAUGACCUUAGUACGAAAGGACCAGGUUAUUACAAAAAUGAUUUGUAACACUUAGAUUAAAUAUAAAAAAUAAUUAAGCUUAUAAAUAUCAAAUUAGCAAAGAUUAAUGCAAUUGACUUAGGAUCAAUAGACAUAGGUGAAACCCCUUUAUUUGAUAAAUAAAGAUGGCAGAAGAA